rnacentral:rRNA from 1 species
AGUUACCAGCACGUUAUGGUGGGCGACUCUAAGGAGACUGCCGGUGACAAACCGGAGGAAGGUGGGGAGUGACGUCAAGUCAUCAUGGCCCUUACGGCCUGGGCUACACACGUGCUACAAUGGUUGGUACAAAGGGUUGCCAAGCCGCGAGGUGGAGCUAAUCCCAUAAAACCGAUCGUAGUCCGGAUCGCAGUCUGCAACUCGACUGCGUGAAGUCGGAAUCGCUAGUAAUCGUGAAUCAGAAUGUCACGGUGAAUACGUUCCCGGGCCUU